CGCUGCGGAAGGAUCAUUA
rnacentral:rRNA from 1 species